AAAAAGUUUAAUUUUGGUUUAGAAAUUCAAUAGAUUAUUAUUUUACAUGUAAAUUUUUGUUAAAUAUAUUCGGUCAGUAAAUAGUUUUAUAUCAUUAAUAAUUUAAUUUUAGUAAUUAAUUUUAGAUUUAAUAAAAUUUGUGCCAGCAAUUGCGGUUAAACAAAUAAAUUAAUUGAAUAUUUUUAGUUAAUAAUUAGUUACUUAUAUAUAUAUAUAAGUUAAAAUUUUGGGGUGAAAUAAAAAAUUUUAAUAAUUAUUUUUAUUUAAUGAAUUAAUAAAGUUUUAUUUAAACUAGGAUUAGAUACCCUAUUAUUAGAACUGUAAUUUAAAAAUCUUGAUUAGUAGUAGUUAUGUUCUUGAAAAUUAAAAAAUUUGGCGGUAUUUCAGUCAAUUCAGAGGAACCUGUCUUGUGAUUGAUAGUCCACGAUAAGAUAGACUUAUUUUUUUAGUUUGUAUAUCGUUGUUUAGAAUUUCUUUAUUGGGAUAAUUUUCAAUUGUUUUAAAUUAAAUUAAUUUCAGAUCAAGGUGCAGCUUAUAGGUAAGAAUUGAUGGGUUACAAUUUAGAUAUAUUUGGUUAUUUAUUUUAAAUUUUAAAUAUAAAUGGGAUUUGAUUGUAAUUAAAGAAAUUUUUCUUUAAUGAUCAUUGUUCUGAAAUAUGUACAUAUUGCCCGUCGCUCUCAUAGUAUUUGAGAUAAGUCGUAACAAAGUAGAUGUACUGGAAAGUGUAUCUAGAAAUAU
rnacentral:ncRNA from 1 species